rnacentral:rRNA from 1 species
AGGAUGAACGCUGGCGGCGUGCCUAAUACAUGCAAGUCGAGCGAACAGACGAGAGUGCUUGCACUCUCUGACGUUAGCGGCGGACGGGUGAGUAACACGUGGGUAACCUACCUAUAAGACUGGGAUAACUUCGGGAAACCGGAGCUAAUACCGGAUAAUAUUUAGCUUCGCAUGAAGCAAUAGUGAAAGACGGUUCUGCUGUCACUUAUAGAUGGACCCGCGGUGUAUUAGCUAGUUGGUGAGGUAACGGCUCACCAAGGCAACGAUACAUAGCCGACCUGAGAGGGUGAUCGGCCACACUGGGACUGAGACACGGCCCAGACUCCUACGGGAGGCAGCAGUAGGGAAUCUUCCGCAAUGGACGAAAGUCUGACGGAGCAACGCCGCGUGAGUGAAGAAGGUUUUCGGAUCGUAAAACUCUGUUGUAAGGGAAGAACAAGUACGUUAGUAACUGAACGUACCUUGACGGUACCUUACCAGAAAGCCACGGCUAACUACGUGCCAGCAGCCGCGGUAAUACGUAGGUGGCAAGCGUUAUCCGGAAUUAUUGGGCGUAAAGCGCGCGUAGGCGGUCUCUUAAGUCUGAUGUGAAAGCCCCCGGCUCAACCGGGGAGGGUCAUUGGAAACUGGGAGACUUGAGUGCAGAAGAGGAGAGUGGAAUUCCAUGUGUAGCGGUGAAAUGCGCAGAGAUAUGGAGGAACACCAGUGGCGAAGGCGGCUCUCUGGUCUGUAAC